UUCCGGUUGAUCCUGCCGGAGGCUACCGCUAUUGGAGUUCGAUUAAGCCAUGCGAGUCGCGAGUCUUAGGGACUCGGCGUACCGCUCAGUAACACGUGGGUAACCUGCCCUAUGCUGGGGGAUAACCUCGGGAAACUGAGAAUAAUACCCCAUAGUUCACCACGCCUGGAACGGUGGGUGGAUGAAAGCUCCGGCGGCAUAGGAUGGGCCUGCGGCGUAUCAGGUUGUAGGGGGUGUAAUGUACCCUCUAGCCAUCUACGCGUACGGGUGUUGGGAGACAUCGCCCGGAGAUGGAUUCUGAGACACGAAUCCAGACCCUACGGGGUGCAGCAGGCGCGAAAACUUGGCAAUGCGAGCAAUCGUGACCAGGGAACUCCAAGUGCAUCGGGUAAGACCGAUGCUUUUCUUGACUCUUCAAAGGUCUUGGAAUAAGGGGUGGGUAAGGACGGUGCCAGCCGCCGCGGUAAUACCGGCGCCUCAAGUGGUAGUCGCUUUUAUUGGGCCUAAAACGUCCGUAGCCGGUUUGGUACAUUCGUGGGUAAAUCAAGGCGCUCAACGUCUUGAAUUCUGCGAGCACGGCCAGACUUGGGACCGGGUGAGGUGUGGGGUACUCUCAGGGUAGGGGUAAAAUCCUGUCAUCCUGAGAGGACCACCUGUUGCGAAGGCGCCACACUAGAACGGAUCCGACGGUCAGGGACGAAGCCUAGGGGCACGAACCGGAUUAGAUACCCGGGUAGUCCUAGGUGUAAACGCUGUGGACUUGAUGUUGGGAGUGCUCCGAGCACCCUCAGUGUCGAAGCGAAGGUGAUAAGUCCACUGCCUGGGGAGUACGGUCGCAAGGCUGAAACUUAAAGGAAUUGGCGGGGGAGCACUGCAACCUGAGGAUUGUGCGGUUCAAUUGGAUUCAACGCCGG
rnacentral:rRNA from 1 species